UGUUAAAAGAUAUUUGCUUAUAAAUGCUGCUGAAUUAAUCCAAAAUAGGGAUUUUGAAAAUAUCUGGAGUUCAAAAUUGAAGUCAGAAUGUAUGUUACUUUAUAGAAGACAUUUUGCUUUUGUUUCCACAGGAAAUGAGAGGCUUUGGAUUCAUUCUGAGUUAAGAAAAAUCAGCUUUGAUCAAGGAAAACUACCUGAGAAAUCUCCACUAGGAACAGAUGGCACAGAUGUCUGAGUUCUGUGUCCAGAACAGAUUUAAGACUGCUUCCUGAGAUGAUCAAGAAUCACAGGACAUUACAGAUCUGCAGAUCAGCACCGUUAAAGAGAAAAGCCUGACAUGCAGUGAAGUUAAGACUUGUUUAUCCUUUGUGUAUUCUAGUUUGAAAAAAGUUAUGAGAAGUCGGGAUCACUUGACAAGCUGGGAGUUUGAUGUUCUGUUUGGUGCCCAUGGUGGAGACUGAUGAAAUGAAGCUGGUGCAGACCAGAGUCAUUCUCAGCCACAUUGCCACCAAAUGUGCCCUCCAUGAGAAGAACAUGAAGGAGAGAGGUAUGGAUGAAAUAUUUAGUCUGGGAAAUAGUUACGUCAUGACUUGAGUGAAGAGAACCAUGGCAAAGGACUCAUGAGACAAUGCCUGGGUGUUUGGGCAUGCAUACACUGACAUCAGUUAAGAAGAAUGCUAUGGAAUUGAGGGCAGAAUAGGAGGGGUUGUGGGUGUCCUGUAGAAUAGGAGAUGGUGGAGUCCGGUUUCCCUUUUAUUAAUCUUCAGAGGAAACAUUCUAGCCAAUAGCUUUGGAUAGAUGGACCCAAAAGGCAGUAAAGAGAAGGAUCCAAAUAACUUCUCUUCCAGUUCUGACAAUUACAGUCAUGACCCUAGCUUACCAUGUGAAUCUACAUGCAGUCAGGCUGAUUGUGGCUCACAGAGUCUGGUACAGAGAUACCAGGGUUGCAUGAAGCUUUUUUGGGGAAGGCUGUUCAGAGCUGUCAAGACUGAUCAUGUGGUCUCCUCUUUCCUGUGAUAGACCACGCCAUUCAAACUGAAUAUUCUGUGGAAGUGUAGGGUUUUUCUCAGAAAGUUAAACAUGGAGUCACCAAUAACACAGCAGUUACAUUACUAGAUAAAUACGCAAGAGAAAUAAAAAUACAUUCCUGGGAUGUUCAUAGAUGCAUUAGGUAUAAUGUACAAUAAAUAGAAAAUGAGCCAGACAUUAACAGAAUGGAAGAAGAGAUCAGCCUUGCUUGCUAGCCCUUUAGGGCAUUCAAAUGGGAAUGUGACUGGAGGUGGUGGUAUUUGCCUUUAUCUUAGCACUCGGUGACAAAAGGAGGAGAAUUCUGUGAAUUUAAGGCCAGUGUGUCUACAUAGUACAUAUACAGGUCAGAUCAAGCUACAUAAAGAGACCCUGUCUCAAUACAAAUUGUAAAAGGAUUGCUAACCUGCAAGUAAAAAUCUAUUAUUACUGCCUCUACAGCUCUAUCAGAGGGGAACCUGAUUUACCACAGCCUUUUAUUGUUUUCGACUGUAAAAUCUGAGGCAGGAGGGUUCUGGCAGAAUAUCUGUCUGUUUUCACCAUUGACAUGUAUACUGAAGAUAUGAUGGGUUUGGAUUACUCAGUUCUCCAUCAACCUUACAUUCCCCAACUGAGAAAGAGGCUAGCCUUGCCAAGGCCAAGGACAAAGCUAGGAACCAUUAUUUGCCUGCUUAUGAGAAGGUGAGUGCAAGUGGUUCGACCUUUCGAGCAUUCUGAGGUCAUUGGAGCAGCUAACACUGCUGCACCAAAAGUGUGUCACGCAAGUGUUAAGUAUUAAACACUUAUUUGUCACUGUGCUAUGAAGUUUACAAUCAAGACAUCGUAGAUUGGAGUCUGACCAAUCUUACUCAUGGAUUCAUCUAUGCCUGCUUUCUUUCUGGAUCUACAAUGGCAGGCUGGACUGCUAUAUCUCCGGUGUGCCCUUUAGGGAGCAGAAAUGCCAUCCAUGAACACUUAGGGUGUAGGAUCUAUUCCCCUCUCUAGAGUCCUUCUUACAAACAGCAUCGUGCUGAGGGCUAGGGUACUUACCUUCUUGAUUUGGGGGACACAGAGAUCCUCAGUCACAACAGAGGCAACAGGAAAUGAUUUGGGUGCCUUGGAUCACCUCCGACUCUCUCUCUUGGCCCUUGGGAUCUGACAGAUUAGGAUUCAUCCCGUGAAGAGAUGCUUUCUAUUCAUUACAGCUUGUCCCCUAUACUGUGAAAACAGAAAUCCCCUUGAGAUCAGUAAAACACAUAAAUUACAGUAUCAGUUAGAUCUUUUACCAAGCAGUCAUUCGCAUUUCUGUAUGUACAGAUAAUCUGAUAUUUAUUUGAUGACAUUAUUUUUAAUUUGGUAGUAAUAUAACAUUUUUCUUAUUCUUCAAGACUUUAACCUUGAAGGAUUAUUUUAGCAAAUAUAUGUUACUCCAAUUUUUAAUAAAAACUUUCAUGCAUCUAGGUUGAGAGAGGCAUGGUGAUGCAAGCCUGAAAGCCUGGUGCCCAAGACAUAAAAGCAGAAGCAUCAGUCGGUUAAAGACUAUGUUAAGUAAACAGUGAGUUUGAGGCCAGGCUGGGCUACAUGAAACACUGUCUCCAAAAUAGAAAGAGAGGAGGAAAAAGGAAGGAAGGAAGAAAAUAAGGAAGGAAGAAUGAAAGGAAGGAAGAAAGAAAGCAGAGUGUGCGGGAAGGACUAAGAAAGGAAGAAAGGAACGAGGAACAAAGGCCAGUUAGAUUAAAGAAUGCAGGCCAAUUAAAGAAUGCUGAGCCAAUCGAAGGCCUGCUGCUAUGCCCAGAGACUGCUGACUAAUGGACACGUGACCAGAGAUGUCACUGAAAGAAGAACAACACAGAAGAAUUGACCACCUGAGCCAAUGGGACCUUGGGAUGGGAUAUGAGAGGGUUGCCCAUACCCUCAAUAAA